AGAGUUCAUGCACAGUUGGGAGCAGAGAGAGCUAACAGCUGAGAAAUAGAACAUUCAAGAAUACAAAUCUGCAAAAUGCACAGAUGCCUGAGAAUAAAAAGCAAGAGAACUGUCACACGGGGAAUUUGGAGAGCAUGGUGCUUGAAAGGCCCAUCCAGGAGUCAAUCUGCUUCAUAAACAAGUUGUCAGGGGGGCUUCUCUGAAGUCACACAAUAGACCCAAAGAGCCAAAGCCUCUUAUGCCUAAUCCUGAUUAUCUUGGGUGACCCGUGACUCCCUGCAGAUGCUUCUGUACAGACAAUGUAUGGAACAGACAUCAAACCCAGGCUGGCCUCGAAUUCUUGCCAUCUGCUUCUUUGAGCACGCGGUGCUAGUCUUUCUCCAGGAGAUGAAAACUGGUGUCAUGUUCUUCAGUAUCAAGUUACACUGCCCUGCUUCUGUGUUCACCAGGCUUGGUUCUAAGACUCAGGGACGAUCUGAAUGAUGUCCUUUUCAGGGAAUUACUUCCUGGAGGGGAUUUUCGACAAUAUCAGAGUUCCUCUGAGGAUCGAUAAAGAUUGCUGAGCAAAUGUUUCUGUGCUUUGAGUCGAGCAUCAGUUAUCCUAUUUAGCUAUUGUAUCCAAUUCUACCAAGGCUGCUAUCUGUCCAAAGGAAAAAUGAUACAUCAUCUAAAGAAGGGCAUGUUUAUUAUAUCAGGUGUACUAUGUAUUACCAAUACAGAAGUUUUCCAUCAAAUAAUUCCAUCCUUCAAAAAUCACUGUUUUGUCCCUGGGAUAAGUACAGAGAUCAUUAAUAUGUUCUAUAUUAAAUGCAGAAUAAGUCCUCCUUAAGAGGAAAUUGAAUAACAUUUAUUUUUGGUCAAACCUAGAUCUAAACCAUGGGAAUUUUUAUAUUUAAUUCUGUUAUUAAUUUUAGCUGGUAAAUUGGGAUAUGAGCUAUUUUAGUGAUGUUUUAAAAUCAUUAUUUUGUUCUAUUACUUGGGAAAGCAGCUAAUUAUUAUUAAAUGUUGAAAG